rnacentral:rRNA from 1 species
CAGCAGCCACGGUAAUACGUAGGGUGCAAGCGUUAAUCGGAAUUACUGGGCGUAAAGCGUGCGCAGGCGGUUUUGUAAGACAGAGGUGAAAUCCCCGGGCUCAACCUGGGAACUGCCUUUGUGACUGCAAGGCUGGAGUGCGGCAGAGGGGGAUGGAAUUCCGCGUGUAGCAGUGAAAUGCGUAGAUAUGCGGAGGAACACCGAUGGCGAAGGCAAUCCCCUGGGCCUGCACUGACGCUCAUGCACGAAAGCGUGGGGAGCAAACAGGAUUAGAUACCCGCGUAGUCCCUGUCUCUUAUAC